GAUGAACGCUGGCGGUGUGCCUAAUACAUGCAAGUCGAGCGAACGGACGAGAAGCUUGCUUCUCUGAUGUUAGCGGCGGACGGGUGAGUAACACGUGGAUAACCUACCUAUAAGACUGGGAUAACUUCGGGAAACCGUAGCUAAUACCGGCUAAUAUUUUGAACCGCAUGGUUCAAAAGUGAUAGACGGUCUUGCUGUCACUUAUAGAUGGAUCCGCGUUGCAUUAGCUAGUUGGUAAGGUAACGGCUUACCAAGGCAACGAUGCAUAGCCGACCUGAGAGGAUGAUCGGCCACACUGGAACUGAGACACGGUCCAGACUCCUACGGGAGGCAGCAGUAGGGAAUAUUCCACAAUGGGCGCAAGCCUGACGGAGCAACGCCGCGUGAGUGAUGAAGGUCUUCGGAUCGUAAAACUCUGUUAUUAGGGAAGAACAUAUGUGUAAGUAACUGUGCACAUCUUGACGGUACCUAAUCAGAAAGCCACGGCUAACUACGUG
rnacentral:rRNA from 1 species